GACGAACGCUGGCGGCGUGCUUAACACAUGCAAGUCGAACGGAAAGGCCCUGCUUUUGUGGGGUGCUCGAGUGGCGAACGGGUGAGUAACACGUGAGUAACCUGCCCUUGACUUUGGGAUAACUUCAGGAAACUGGGGCUAAUACCGGAUAGGAGCUCCUGCUGCAUGGUGGGGGUGGGAAAGUUUCGGCGGUUGGGGAUGGACUCGCGGCUUAUCAGCUUGUUGGUGGGGUAGUGGCUUACCAAGGCUUUGACGGGUAGCCGGCCUGAGAGGGUGACCGGCCACAUUGGGACUGAGAUACGGCCCAGACUCCUACGGGAGGCAGCAGUGGGGAAUCUUGCACAAUGGGCGGAAGCCUGAUGCAGCAACGCCGCGUGCGGGAUGACGGCCUUCGGGUUGUAAACCGCUUUCGCCUGUGACGCAGCGUGAGUGACGGUACUGGGUAAAGAAGCACCGGCUAACUACGUG
rnacentral:rRNA from 1 species